AGAGAAAGACGACUGAUAGGAAGCUAUCAAAAAGAAGGAAAUAACUUGGUUUUAUUCUCUUGCUGUUAAUUUAAGAUAUCAAUAAUUAAGUAGAGUCUCAUAGCUCAGCUGGUUAGAGCGCUACACUGAUAAUGUAGAGGUCGGCAGUUCGAGUCUGCCUGAGACUACUAAUUAAAGGAAAUUCUAGAAGUUGGGAUUCUAAAUUCAUAAUUCGGGAUUCUAGAAAAAAGAAUCAAAAGGAAUGGGGAAUUAGCUCAGCUGGCUAGAGCGCCUGCCUUGCACGCAGGAGGUCACCGGUUCGACUCCGGUAUUCUCCACGAUCAGCGGAUAGCUGAGAAAGUUCAUUGACAUAUUGAAAAAAGAUACAUGAUAAUUAGAUAGAAAUAUUUAAUAAAAUUAAAUAAUUAUUGUAACGAGCAAUAAUUGUAACUCAUUAAAAAGACAAAAGUAC
rnacentral:tRNA from 1 species